AUUGAACGCUGGCGGCAGGCCUAACACAUGCAAGUCGAGCGAGCGGCGGACGGGUGAGUAAUGUCUGGGUAACUGCCUGAUGUAGGGGGAUAACUCCUGGAAACGGUAGCUAAUACCGCAUACCAUCAGAUGUGCCCAGGGGGGGGUAGCUAGUAGGUGGGGUAACGGCCCACCUAGGCGACGAUCCCUAGCUGGUCUGAGAGGAUGACCAGCCACACUGGAACUGAUACACGUUCCAGACGCCUACGGGAGGCAGCAGUGGGGAAUAGGGCACAAUGGGCGCAAGCCGGAUGCAGCCAUGCCGCGUGUGUGAAGAAGGCCUUCGGGGUGUAAAGGACUUUCAGCUGGGAGGCGUUACCCGCAGAAGAAGCACCGGCUAACUCCGUGCCAGCAGCCGCGGUAAUAC
rnacentral:rRNA from 1 species